GAUGAACGCUGGCGGCGUGCUUAACACAUGCAAGUCGAACGAUGAAGCCCAGCUUGCUGGGUGGAUUAGUGGCGAACGGGUGAGUAACACGUGAGUAACCUGCCCUUAACUCUGGGAGAAGCCUGGGAAACUGGGUCUAAUACCGGAUAGGAGCGCCCACCGCAUGGUGGGUGUGGGAAAGAUUUAUCGGUUUUGGAUGGACUCGCGGCCUAUCAGCUUGUUGGUGAGGUAAUGGCUCACCAAGGCGACGACGGGUAGCCGGCCUGAGAGGGUGACCGGCCACACUGGGACUGAGACACGGCCCAGACUCCUACGGGAGGCAGCAGUGGGGAAUAUUGCACAAUGGGCGCAAGCCUGAUGCAGCGACGCCGCGUGCGGGAUGACGGCCUUCGGGUUGUAAACCUCUUUCAGUAGGGAAGAAGCGAAAGUGACGGUAACUGCAGAAGAAGCACCGGCUAACUACGUG
rnacentral:rRNA from 1 species